UACGUAGGGUGCGAGCGUUGUCCGGAAUUAUUGGGCGUAAAGAGCUCGUAGGCGGCUUGUCACGUCGGGUGUGAAAGCCCGGGGCUUAACCCCGGGUCUGCAUUCGAUACGGGCUGGCUGGAGUGUGGUAGGGGAGAUCGGAAUUCCUGGUGUAGCGGUGAAAUGCGCAGAUAUCAGGAGGAACACCGGUGGCGAAAGCGGAUCUCUGGGCCAUUACUGACGCUGAGGAGCGAAAGCGUGGGGAGCGAACAGG
rnacentral:rRNA from 1 species